AUGAAGUAUUUUGUCCUUUUAUCCUCAGGCUCCUGUGGACAGAUAAUGAUGACUCAGUAUCCAGCUUUUACUGCUGUGUUUCCAGGAGACACUGUCACCAUCAGAUGUAAAUCACGUUCUAAUUUGCCACUCUUGCUAGACUGGUUCCAACAGAAACCAGGACAACCUCCAAAACGUAUUAUCUCUCAAACAAGUAGCAGAGCCUCAGGGACCCCAGACAGGUUCAGCGGCAGUGGGUCUGAUACAGAUUUCACUCUCACAAUCAGAAAAGUGCAAGCAGAAGAUGCAGCAGAUUAUUACUGUAUGCAAUAUGCAGAGCACCCUCUCGCAGUGAUACAGAGCUGUACAAAAACCUCUCUCUGA